UACAGAGGUCUCGAGCGUUAGGCGGAAUCACUGGGCUUAAAGCGUGUGUAGGCGGAUCGUUAAGUGCCUUGUGAAAUCCCACGGCUUAACCGUGGAACUGCUUGGCAUACUGGCGAUCUUGAGCAACCUAGGGGCGAGCGGAACAAAUGGUGGAGCGGUGAAAUGCGUAGAUAUCAUUUGGAACGCCAAUGGUGAAAACAGCUCGCUGGGGGUUUGCUGACGCUGAGACACGAAAGCCAGGGGAGCAAACGGGAUUAGAUACCCCGGUAGUCCUGGCCCUAAACGAUGUCCACUAGAUCCUAGAGCCUCUGACGGUUUUAGGGUCGAAGCAAAAGUGCUAAGUGGACCGCCUGGGAAGUACGGUCGCAAGGCUAAA
rnacentral:rRNA from 1 species